GCGUUUUGUGUUCCAAAGAAAUUCUGUGUGUGAAAAUUUGGCGAAGAAAAAUUGGGAAUUAGAUAAAAUUAUCGCAUAGAAAAACUGGAAAAUGUGUAGAAAACUAUAUUAGAAACGGUUUAAAUAUGAAUUUGUUGAAAUGAUGUGCGAAGCGGUGUUAUGAAUUGUCAAAAAUAAAAAGUCAUGUGACUUGACAGAAGUAAUUCGAAACGUCCAAAAGAAUUGUAAUCGCCUGAAAUUGUAUAUUAUUUUAAAAGACUAUUUUCAUGAAAAGGGGUAGGGGAAUAUAGUUAGAAGUGAAUGUUCAUGCAAAGGAAAGCAAAAGUGGUGGAAGCAUAGAAAAAAAGUUGGUGGAAAAAAAGAACUGGUUGCGGAGCGAAGAAAACAAAAGGCGAAGAGCGAGUGGCAACAGUAACAACAAUAACAACUGCCAGAACGUAAACAAGAACAAAGUUAUGAUUAAGGCGAAUUAAAGUGUUGGAUGACAAUUGAUAGCAAGAAAGUGGGUAAAAAAGAAACGAAGCAAACAUCACACGAAUAAGGAGUUGUAAAAGAAUUUAAAAAGACGAGCAGCUGGUUGCUCAGCCAAUAAUGCUGCUGCUGCGCUGCUUUAACUGUGCAUAAUUUUAUUUGUGUUGUGUAGCUGCGCUGCCUUGCGUCAUCGUAGACGUCAACGUUGUCGAACUCAUCCGUGUACGAUUGGUUUGUAUUGGGCUAUCACGCUUAUUCGUAGCAUGCAAUCCCGUUUGGUCGCUUCUUGAUUUGUUUUGCGGUAGUGUUCGUUCGUCUUAUUGUCGUCGCAAUGUUCCGUGUUUCUCAUGUUUUGGUAGGGGGGCAAAUGAGAAAAAAAUUAUUAAAUAAAAAGUAAAUCAAAUAUCCCCAACAUUCGCGAAAGGCCGCGCAGACAUCGAGGACGUGUUUGUAUUCAUCACAACGGACUCGUUUAUGUAGCACAUCACAUAAGACUUGAAACUUUAGUGUAGAACACUAAAUGGACAAAAUUUAAUUGUCGUGAUCGUCAUCGUCGUCGAAAUCGUACGGGAAUAUCAGUUGACAAGUAAUUAAGAAAAAAUACGGGUUGAACACAGUAAACUAACUUGUAAUAUAAUUAAUAUAUAUUUAACUGUACAUAUAUAACAUAUAAUCAUAAACAGUAACUUAUACAUAAGUGAAGUUAAUUAAAACCAUAAAUUUAUCUGCUAGUGUAUUAAUUUAGACACAUACGCACACACACACACAUUGAGACUCACAAAUUCUAUGAACUCCAUACGAAAAGGUUAAAUCAUCCGUCGCGUCGCGAGUGUAAAACCACAUAAAUUAAAAGUGUGCUUGUUAAUCACGUACACAGCCCGCACAAUUUUUGAGAAAAUAUUCUCAAAGAAAAGUCU